CUUUGUUAGGGGCAGGCCCAAGAUGCCGAAGUCGUGCGCGGCCCGGCAGUGCUGCAACCGCUACAGCAGCCGCAGGAAGCAGCUCACCUUCCACCGGUUCCCGUUCAGCCGCCCGAGCUGCUGAAGGAAUGGGUGCUCAACAUCGGCCGGGCUGACUUCAAGCCCAAGCAGCACACGGUCAUCUGCUCCGAGCACUUCCGCCCGAGUGCUUCAGUGCCUUUGGGAACCGCAAAAACCUGAAGCACAAUGCUGUGCCCACCGUGUUUGCCUUCCGGGAGCCGGCACAGGUAGGGACCAUGGCAGGAGCUGGGCGGGCAGAGGCCCAGGAGAGCAGGGCAAAGAGCAAGGCGGCCGCAGAGGCCUUCAGCCCUGCUGACCCCGUCCUGUGCUUUAGGAGAACUUUGGAAUCUAUGUGGUUUUCUUUUUUCCAAAAAAAGGAAGCUGAACAAGGAGGUUUAUUUGAACCCAGGACAGUCCUCCUGCCUCAGCCUCCCCAGUCCCGGAUUCACAGGCAUGCACCACUGCAUCUGGGAGACCUUGUCUUAAAAAAUCAAAUCAUGCUGUUGUGUGCAGCAGGGUGCUGUUGAGGCAGCUGAGGGGUCCGUGCUUGGAGUGGGGGGCUGUUCCGGGGUCCUGCUGGCUGAAGCUGCUUGGUGGAGACACCUGCUGGAGGCUCAGGCUCCCACCUGCAUCCAGACCCAGUGCUCUGUAUGUUUCCGGUCAGGCCCCUCUGGGUGCCGUGCAUGCCCCGCUGGGCCUGUGUGGCGUGGGCAGAGAUGGAGGGGCCCUGGGCACAGUGGGCAGAGGCUGCGAAUGGUAAGAGCAGGGCAGGGUGGGAGCAGUGCCGUGUAGCUGUGUGGAUGGCGAGCAGGGUCAGGCGACUUAGCUCAAGUGCCCAACUGCAGCUGAAAAGCACUUCUCUCGGGGCCCGGGACUGGAAGUCAGAGCUCAGGUCCCAGCACAGGUGGCUGCUAGUGUCGCCCUGCAUGGUGUGCGGUGGCAGACAGUAGAGAUGCGAGACGCCACCAGGGGGCCCUGGCACUGGGCCUCAGCUCGUGACCCUGGGGCAGCGGAGGGGUGAGGUGGCUCUGGAAGGCUCAGGGCAGCUGCAGGUGGAGUGGCUGGGCGCAGGCUGGAGGGCAGAGGGCUGCUCUUACAGAUCUGCUGGGCUGAGAGGCGGCGGGGCCCGAGAUGGUUUUGGGCAGCCAGAUCGUGAUGGGGGUGUGGAGAUGUGGGGGGAACUCAGGGGGGCUGGCC
rnacentral:lncRNA from 1 species